rnacentral:tRNA from 1 species
GAAGAUGUAGCUUAAAGGAAAAGCACAAGUUUGCUAAGCUUGAGAUUGAGGUUCGAUUCCUCACUUUUUCC